UUGACCAUGCCAGCCUGAAUAUGCCUUAUCUCAGCUGCUAUGCAGGGUUGGUCCUAAUUAGUACUUGGAUAGGAGACUAUUUUUUUAAGCUGGGUUGCGAAACAGU
rnacentral:rRNA from 1 species